AGCUGUUAGGAGACUUUGUCUUUUAGUGGCGCAGCUAACGUUUUAAGUUGUCCGCCUGGGGAGUACGGCCGCAAGGCUAAAACUCAAAUGAAUUGACGGGGACCCGCACAAGCAGUGGAUCAUGUGGUUUAAUUCGAUGCAACGCGAAAAACCUUACCUACUCUUGACAUACUUGGAAGCUCUUGUAAUGAGAGUGUGCUUUUAAGAACCAAGAUACAGGUGCUGCAUGGCUGUCGUCAGCUCGUGUCGUGAGAUGUUCCGUUAAGUCGGAUAACGAGCGCAACCCUUACCCUUAUUUGCCAGCGAUUCGGUCGGGAACUAUAAGGGGACUGCCGGUGAUAAACCGGAGGAAGGUGAGGACGACGUCAAGUCAUCAUGGCCCUUACGAGUAGGGCUACACACGUGAUACAAUGGGAGAGACGGACGGACGCUAAGCCGCGAGGUGGUGCUAAUCCUAGAAACUCUCUCGUAGUCCGGAUUGGAGUCUGCAACUCGACUCCAUGAAGUUGGAAUUGCUAGUAAUCGCGGAUCAGCAUGCCGCGGUGAAUACGUUCUCGGGUCUUGUACACACCGCCCGUCACACCAUGGAAGUGGAUUGCACCAGAAGUAGAUAGUCUAACCUUAGGGAGGGCGUUUACCACGGUGUGCUUCAUGACUGGGGUG
rnacentral:rRNA from 1 species